rnacentral:rRNA from 1 species
CCUACGGGGUGCAGCAGUGGGGAAUAUUGGACAAUGGGGGGAACCCUGAUCCAGCGACGCCGCGUGAGUGAAGAAGUAUUUCGGUAUGUAAAGCUCUAUCAGCAGGGAAGAAAAUGACGGUACCUGACUAAGAAGCCCCGGCUAACUACGUGCCAGCAGCCGCGGUAAUACGUAGGGGGCAAGCGUUAUCCGGAUUUACUGGGUGUAAAGGGAGCGUAGACGGUGCAGCAAGUCUGAUGUGAAAGGUCGGGGCUCAACCCCGGGACUGCAUUGGAAACUGUUGAACUGGAGUGCGGGAGAGGUAGGCGGAAGUCCUGGUGUAGCGGUGAAAUGCGUAGAUAUGAGGAGGAACACCAGUGGCGAAGGCGGCUUACUGGACUGUAACUGACGUUGAGGCUCGAAAGCGUGGGGAGCGAACAGGAUUAGAUACCCGAGUAGUC